rnacentral:lncRNA from 1 species
GGGGUGGAAGGUGCCGUACUGGUACUGGGCGGGGUCCUGGCCCCGCAGGUGCGGCGGCUCCGACGGCGGGAGCGGGCCCGAGGAGGAGGAGUGGGCCAGCCUCUUCUCGCCGCCGUCGCCGGCGCCGGCCUCCGGGUCCUGGCCGGCUCCCAUGGUGGACGGACGGAGAUCGGUGGUUGGGUUGGUUGACUCUUGACUUGGGCGGUGUUCCGUGCCGACGAGGUGUUGAGGUGUGUGGAGGCUGGCGGUGACAGAGAAGGAAGGGGCCAACGGCACGGCAGUGUGAUGUAGCCAGGGGGGAGCUUUGGGUCGGUGGUGGACUGACAGGUGGUUGUGUGUGGGCCGGUAGAGUUUCUGGCCUGUUGCUGAGGGCCUGGAUGGAUCGUUGACUGGGUAUAUUCAUGAGCCCAUCUCUGCUAAUUCCCACCAGCUGGAAAACUGUCGAAAAAACUGCCGGCCCUCGAAAAACUGUCGGCCCUUACAAAGACCGGGAAAACCGUUGUUCUGAUUAAAAUAAAGAAAAAAACUAUUUGUUUUUAGGAUUAAAAAAUAGAGAAACUGUUUUUAACACGGUACAGACGCAAACACUCAUAUAAACGCGCAUACAUAAAUCUCUAUAAACGCACACAUGCACGCCCCACCUAUGUGAGUAGCAACAAAAAAGAAAAAGAAAAGAAAAAAAAUGCAGCCGCAAAGCAGUGCAUGAACUCGAAAGGAACAAAAAGAAAAAUUAUUGUAUGUCUCCUAUAAGAAGUUUGGUCCGCCUGGACAUCCUUAUUAAGAACCUGAGUUAUAAACUCCUUCGUCGAGACGUUAAGAGGAAAAUGACCAUCAGACAAGACAAUACCAAGUCCAAAAAGGUCAAUUGCAUCAACGUACAAAAGCUGAUAAGAAAGUUAUAAGGAUCAUAUGAUAUACACAAACAACAACAAAAAUGUGAAGUAAAAUGAUAAAAAAAAAAAGGAAAGCGGCAACACUAACGUUGUCAAAAAGAAGACAACCCCUGGUAGGCUUGCCAGUUGAAAGCGCCAUUUGAAAUUCAUCAACGAUGAACUUGGACCAAUUGUGAUUUUUAAGUGUACCAUUGUUUUGUUGAAAAGACAAAGGGUGGUAAAGGAGCAUAAGUUAUCAUGGUACACACACUAAAAGUUAUCAUGAGGACGCAAUGGAAGUUACCAGUCAUAAGAAGUAAGAAUGACCAUUAAUAAAAACAAAAUAAAAUGAGCAAGAAAAACUUACCAACAUAACAUACCAUCUGGGGCUGGCCUUGCUGGAGGUGGUCAGAGCGAUGACAAUAUUACCAGCAAGCAUAAGCCACACCCGCUUGAACUUGGUGUCGAAGUUGUCAUAACCCGUGAUAAGCUCGACAAGAUCUAUCAUUUUAGGCGUACAUCCAAGAUCACCAAACAGCUCAAGCCCUAACUCAAUAUCGACUUUUGUAGGAAGGUUGUAAGGAACAUCUUGCCCUCCACGUGGCAUGCUCAUCACACAGUGGACAGAUUCUUCAUUCACAUGAAGCCUACCACGCACUGGAACGACAACCUCAUGGGACUUGGGGCGUAUAACCCGGCAAGCUGUAAACUAAGACCGUUGAAUAGACGGACUCACUUGAUGUUCCGAAGGCUUCUCAGGUCCAUAUCAUUAAUGACACGCUUCCUAUCUUGAGACAUAUGCUUGCAGGCAAGCAAACGUGAGCUAGGGGAAGCCCUGUUCUGCAGAGGAGCGCGCUUUGACUUCUUCGAACGAACUUCCUCAAUGCCAACACCAUUGCCUUUGCGCUUCCUUCGCAUUGUGCCCCUAUCACAUACAAAUAAAGAAGGCCAAUGAAAAAACAUAAAUUACAUUUUAAAAACUCCUACCCCUAGUAAUAUCAAGCAAUAUGAUCCUCGUACUUGCAAGCACCAAGCACCCCUACUAAUUAGAAAACACUAUACCCUGCUAAUCCAAGCACUAAGCCCAUGAUAAGAAAUAAAAGAAUCAAGCCCCUAAUAAAAUCAAGCACUAUGCACAUGAUAAAAAAAAUCAAGCACCAUGAUGCUGGUAGGUACAAACAACAUGCCACUGAUAAUUUCUAGCAAUAUAACCCGGGUAAACCAAGCAUCAAGCACCUGGUGAAUCAAUCCAGAUAAGAUGCUGAUAGUCUCGUAGAAGUACUUAACCUUGAAGGUCAAAUAUGAUUUACCAUUUCUAGAUUAGACCCCGGGUCAAUUCGAAAUACGACUCCCACCGUUCUAACUCUUCUUGGGGGAUUCCAUCCACAAACACAAAGUUUGUGGUUGACUAAUAUGGCUCACCAUCAUUUAGCUAUUGCAUUUAUUUUUCUCAUUGCCGGUCAUAUGUAUUGAACAAACUUCAGAAUUGGGCAUCUUUCAGAAGUUUUCCCUUGAAGGGAAAGCAUUAAAGGAAUCCCCCAUUAAGCUGGAAACAAGGGAGUGUGGUUUUGCCAAUCUGUGGGCGGAUCUUUUUCUGGUUUGAGGAAAAGCCCUCAUGAGUUUGGCUUCUUUCUAUUCUUCACCACCAGGAGGGAGAGGUUAACAUGACUCGUUAUACUAUGCAAGAACCCGUGGGCGGUUUGCUAGUAGGUAGCCAAGAUCAGACACCAUGCUACUGGUAACCAUAAAAAAAUGCCCGUGAUAAUUUAUAUGUAAAUAAAAGAGGAGAUUUCCUAUGCAUGAUAAUAGCUAAACACCAUUUGGCAUAAGUGACUUUUUUUACAUAUGAAGUGUCAUGUUUCAAUGAUAUUGGCACAAGUGUAUUUUUCUUUGUAUAGAAAUGACUUUUUUUUAUAUAUAACAUAGGGCGACAACAAUAAAAUCUGAGAGGGAGCACAAGGGAGAAACUCCUCGAAGCACCGAUACUUCAAAAAUUUGUGUAUCGCCGUUCUGUACUUCGCCGAUACACCGAUACGUCAGAUACGCCUUCGAUACAGGUAUCUCCGAAGUAUCGUCUUUUUCAAUUUAAAAAUAAAAGAAAAAAAUGGCGAUACGGGUAUCCUUGAAGUAUCGCCACUGAGUAUUGUUCAUAACUUGAUGUAUCGUUCAUCUGUUUAUAUAGAUAGUGUAUGAUGGGGUUAUAGUCCCAGGAUAGGGUCAUAGGUCUGCCCUAGGUCCUACCCAAGGACUACCCUUCAUAGAAGACAAGGCCCUUAGACAGUUCCGACUGAACUAAGGAUGCCCCCAUCAUCCAGUCGGCGACAAUCCACCCGGAGCAUAUCUAACGUACCGACUGGAAUCCACUCUGUACAUCGUAACCCCCCAGGAGGGCAACGGUCAUACGUUUUCAUACACCAUUAUUAGCAUUUAAAUCUUACGUUACCUGUAACGUAAGCAUUUACUCGCCACUAUUCCACCCCUGUCCACCGGCCAUUAUGAAGGGCAGCGCACUCUAUAUAAGUCGCCCUUCACCACUGGUACGGGGGUUGGCACUUGCUGUAAUCCUAGAAUCCACUCGACACAAAGCUCCCAAGAACACUGAGACGUAGGGCUUUUACCUCCACCGUAGAGGGGCCUGAACUCAUACAUCCUCGUCGUAGCUAAGGCUCUGCCCAUAUACUUUCGUACCCCAUACUUCUACUGUCAGACUUAUACCCACGACAGCUGGCGCCCACCGUGGGGCAGGCGUCUAAACGACUUCCGGCGAGUUUGUGAUUUCAUAUUUUCGUCAUGUCGUCUGGCGGAGAUCUGUGCAUGGGUCAUGAGAUCCUCUUCGGUGCCCUCUCCUUCAUCGCCGACGAUUCGGCAUGGCUUCGGGAUGCGCCCCUCGACGUCGAGGCGCUUCACAGUCGCGGGGCUACGCACUUCCGUGCCAGUCCUUGCGGUGUUCUUCUUCUCCAGCCAUCGACCCCGGUGUCGAUCUUCGCCCCCGUCACGCGCCGCAGCAAGCGAUCCCGUCGUCCGCGGCUCCAGCGUUGGGUGCGACACGCCCAGGCGCGACAAAACGCGUCCUCUCAAGUGGCGGUGCUUGAAUCGGUUGUGGUCCCGCCGUCAUCCCAGUGCUUGGAGUCAGUUCCGACUGAACUACCUUCCGAGUAUCCGGGUCGCGGGCCUGCAGCCGAAGUUCUCAUGGCCGAUUCCCACAAAAGUCCCCUCGGGACUGGGCGGAACGAGCGUGAGUUCGAAGAAUCAUCCGGCGCUCGUCGUUAGCACCAUCGCUCUUCCAGUAGACGCACUCGCCAGAGCAACGUCGAGGUGUUCCGCACACCUAUCCUCAACUUGGCUGCGGCCGCCAGGAUAGCCGAUUCUCUCCAGCCGACUGAUUCAGAGGCUGGUAGAGGAAUCGAGCAGAUCCGCGCCUUGUUGCAUACGGCGCAGCAGCAAAAUUCGGCGGUCUCCGAGUCGCACAACAGGAUCCACAACAGUUCUGUUCAAGCGAACACACAUCGCUCGGUUUUCAGUCCCGACUCUCACCAGCGACGCAGAGGGGGCAGCCGUUCCAGGGACCCGAGUCGGAAUCCGCUUCCCAUUCAGUCUCAUCCCGAAGAUCGUCGCCGUUCGCAUACUCCUCCGCGGAGUGGGCCUUAUGGGCCCCGGCAUUACGACGAUCGUCGUUCGGGCAGUGGUGCGCAUGAUCCAAGGCCUGAUGCAAGAGGGUACUCGCCCAGAAGAAGGUCGACAGAAGUCGAGCCCACCGUGAUGGUCACGAUAGAGACCGUCCGAGUGGAAGCAGGACCGUUGUUUCUGGCCCCGAGUGCUUCAGUCGGGCCAUCCGCUCAGCUGACAUCCCUCCCAACUUCCGAUUGGCGAUGGGAAUCAGCAAAUUCACAGGAGAGUCCAAACCAGAAACUUGGUUGGACGACUACAGAGUGGCGGUCCAGAUCGGUGGCGGAGAUGACCAUGUCGCCAUGAAACAUCUCCCACUGAUGCUCGACGGUUCGGCGCGAGCUUGGCUAAACCAGUUAGCUCCGUCAAGCAUCUACAGUUGGGCAGAUUUGGCCCGAGUCUUCAUCAGGACCUUCGAGGGUACGUGCAAACGCCCUGCUGGUCUCGUAGAGCUUCAGCAUUGUGUCCAGAAGCAAAACGAGCCCUUGCGUGAUUUCAUCUGGCGCUGGACAACCCUCUACCACACGGUGGAGAACGUCAUAGAGCACCAAGCAGUCUGCGCCUUCAAGGCAGGCGUUCGGUACAGAGAUCUGGACCUGAAGUUUGGUCGGACAGGCGACAUCUCCAUGAGCAAGAUGACGGAGAUAGCCGCGUGCUAUGCAAAUGGCAAAGAGGAGGACCGCAUACGUAGCGGCAAGCAUAAGUCAGUCGCCGAUGGAGAUGGGAACAGCAGUCGGAAGCAGAAGCAGAAAGCUCAAUCCACUCCGCAUGCAGAGGCAGCAGCCGUUACAAAUGCCAAGUUCAAAGGCAAGGGGAAAGCACAGUACACCCCCAAGAAGAGGUAGUCAGGAAAUUCCAUCCUAGAUCAACCGUGUCCAAUCCACACGAAGACGGAUGAAGAAGGCAAUGUCAUAUUGCCGAAGCAUACCACUCGGCAGUGUCGCCUCCUGAUCCAAGGAUUAGGCGAAGGACAGCCGGGUGAGAAGGACACCGAGCAGGAUGAUGAGGACAAGGAGGAUCCGUUUCCCCAAGUCCAUGCAACGUUGAUGAUUUUUGCUGAUGUGGAAAGCAAAAGUCGACUGAAGCUGGUCAACAGGGAGGUAAACAUGGCAACCCCAUCCACUCCCACGUUCCUCAAGUGGUCACAGACUGCGAUCACCUUUGAUCAGUCAGACCACCCAGCACACGUACCCACCCCAGGGAGGCAGGCUCUGGUCGUCGACCCGGUGGUGGAAGGGGUUAGGCUGCGCAAAGUCCUCAUGGACGGCGGCAGCGGUUUGAAUAUCAUGUACGCCGACACUCUCAAGGGAAUGGACAUUCCGAUGUCCAAACUUAGCGAGAGCAGUAUGCAGUUCCACGGAGUCGUCCCAGGAAGAAAGGCCAAAUCACUCGGCCAGAUUGCGUUGGAUGUCGUCUUCGGCUCUGACAAGAACUUCCGCAAGGAGAAGCUGACAUUCGAGGUGGUAGACUUCCAGAGUGCAUACCAUGCGAUUCUGGGCCGUCCGGCAUAUGCGCGUUUCAUGGCCCGUCCAUGUUACGUCUAUUUGAAGCUGAAGAUGCCCGGUCCCAAAGGUGUGAUUACUGUCACAUGCAAUCGGCACCGGGCCGAGGAGUGUCUGCAACAGGGGUCGAGAAUUGCCGAUCAUCAGAUGGCUAUACUCGAGCUGGAUGAGUACAAGAAGACCGCCGACCCCGCUGACCUGAUGCGUUCAAAGAAGCCAGCUUCCGAGCCCGCAUUCCAGUCAGCGGGAGACACGAAGAAAGUCAGCAUCCACCCGACGGACGAUGUCGCCGCCCCGACAAACAUCUCCACCACCCUUGAUCCAAAAUAGGAAGCCGAGCUCAUCCAAUUCCUCCGUGAGAACUGGGACAUUUUUGCAUGGAAGCCUGCUAACAUGCCAGGUGUACCCAGGGAGUUGGCUGAGCACCGACUGCAUGUGGAUCCUGCCGCUCGGCCCGUCCGAGAACGCCUGCGUCGGUCCGCCGCGCACAAGAGGAAAGCAAUCGGAGAGGAGGUGGCUAAACUUUUGGCAGCCAACUUCAUUCGUGAGGUACACCACUCCGAGUGGCUCGCUAAUGUUGUCAUGGUGCCCAAGAAGGACAAGUCUCUCCGUAUGUGCAUCGAUUUCAAGCAUCUCAAUAAGGUCUGUCCGAAAGACCACUUCCCGCUCCCCCGCAUUGAUCAAAUCGUUGAUUCGACUGCGGGUUGCGAGCGUUUAUCCUUCCUUGAUGCCUAUUCGGGCUAUCAUCAGAUCCGUCUGUAUGGUCCAGAUGAAUUAAAAACAGCCUUCAUCACCCCAUUCGGGUGUUUCUGUUACAUCACUAUGCCAUUCGGUUUGAAGAAUACAGGAGCAACUUUUAUACGCAUGAUCCAAAAAUGCCUCCUAGACCAGAUCGGUCGAAAUGUGGAGGCAUAUAUGGAUGAUAUCGUCGUCAAGUCACGCAAAGGUUCCGACCUGCUGACUGACUUGGCAGAAACAUUCGCCAACCUACGUAGGUCCGAUAUCAAGCUCAACCCAGCCAAGUGUUCAUUCGGCGUUCCCAGCGGGAAGUUACUCGGCUUCUUCGUUUCCGAACGAGGGAUCAAUGUCAACCCCAAAAAGAUCGGGACCAUUGUCCGAAUGGAGCGACCGGUAAGAGUACAUGAUGUUCAAAGGCUCACAGGUUGCCUAGCGGCUUUGAGAAGGUUUAUCGCUCGACUCGGCGAGAAGGCGUUACCUCUGUACCGACUCAUGAAGAAGUCAGAUACCUUCGAGUGGACAGACGAAGCCCAAAUCGCAUUCGACGACCUCAAAGCCCUGCUUUCCACCCAGCCGGUUCUUACUACCCCGCUCAGUAAAGAACCCCUUCUUCUGUACAUCGCGGCUACUAAUCAGGUCGUCAUCACCGUUCUGAUAGUCGAACGCGAAGAAGAAGGCAAAGCGUACAAGGUUCAACGGCCAGUAUAUUAUGUUUUCGAAGUCCUGACUCCUUCCAAGCAGAGGUAUCCCCAUUAUCAGAAGCUUAUUUAUGGGAUCUACAUGACUGCAAAGAAGGUGGCUCAUUAUUUCCAAGACCACUCGGUAUCUGUCAUAUCUGAUGCUCCGUUGUCGGAAAUUCUCCACAAUCAGGACGCAUCAGGCCGAGUGGCAAAGUGGGCAAUGGAGAUGCUAUACUGCGACAUCAAGUUCGAAGCCAAGAAAGCUAUAAAGUCUCAAGCUCUUGCUGACUUCAUAGCAGAAUGGGUAUAACAACAGCAACCGACCCACAUCUACUCGGCUCAUUGGACCAUGUUCUUCGAUGGGUCCAAGAUGUUGAAUGGCUCCGACACCGGUGUAGUGCUCAUAUCCCCAAAAGGUGAUAAACUCAAGUAUGUGUUGCAGAUCCAUUUUGAUUCUUCCAACAACGAAGCAGAGUACGAAGCUCUCCUUUACGGGUUGCGCAUGGCCAUCACACUCGGCGUCUGUCGCCUGAUGGUCUAUGGCGACUCAGAUCUAGUGGUUAAUCAAGUAAUGAAGGAGUGGGAUGUAAGGAACCCCACCAUGACUGCAUACUGCAACGCAAUAAGGAAGCUCGAGAAGAAGUUCGAAGGCCUGGAACUUCAUCAUGUUCCCCGACUGAAAAACCAAGCAGUAGAUGAAUUGGCCAAACUUGGAUCCACUCGGAGACCGGUCCCGAGUGAUGUCUGCCUCGAGCACCUACACCUCCCCUCGGUAAAAGAAGAUCCUUUUACACAAGAACCAGUACAACCGAAGAGCUCAACAGAUCAGACUGAAGUCGAGGUCCCCGCUGUGGUUGAUUUGAUCAUGGAGAUUCUAUCUGUCAUUCCCGAAUGGACUGUGCCGUUCAUUGCGUACAUCAUGAGACAAGAGUUACCAGAAGACGAAGUCCAAGCUAGGCAGAUUGUUCGCAGGUCGAAGUCCUUUACCGUCAUUGAUGACCAGCUAUACAGGGAAAGUGUAUCAGGCGUCCUUCAGCGGUGUAUCUCUCCUGAGGAGGGGCAGUUAAUCUUGGAAGAAAUUCACUCGGGAACCUGCGGUCAUCAUGCCUCCUCAAGAGCAAUCGUCGCCAAAGAAUUCAGAGCUGGUUUCUUCUGGUUGCAGGCGAAUGAAAUGGCAAAAGAUAUGGUCGACCGUUGCGAAGGUUGUCAGUUCUAUUCAAACAAGUCCCACAAGCCAACGUCUACGCUGAAGACAAUCCCUCUUGCUUGGCCAUUCGCCGUGUGGGGAUUAGAUACAGUCGGACCAUUCAGGAUAGGCCAAGGAGGAUUCACUCAUCUGCUGGUAGCAGUCGACAAGUUUACCAAGUGGAUUGAAGCCAAGCCUAUCAAGAAGCUUGAUGCCCUUACGGCCAUCAAAUUUAUCAGAGACAUCAUCGCCAGAUACGGGGUUCCGCACAACAUAAUCACCGACAAUGGCACAAACUUUGACUCGGACAGGUUCAAAGGUUUUUGCACAGGCCAAGGUAUCCGAGUGAAUUUUGCAUCCGUCGCGCACCCCCAAACAAAUGGGCAAGCAGAGCGAGCGAAUGGACUUAUUCUUCAAGGGUUAAAGCCUCGACUCCUGCGAGAAGUUGGACAUGCCGCCGGCGCAUGGGUCACCGAGCUGCCUUAGGUGCUGUGGGGCCUCCGCACCACUCCGAAUAGAUCGACAGGGCGAUCCCCAUUUUUCCUUGUUUAUGGAGCAGAGGCGGUCCUUCCGAGUGACUUGCUUCACAACUCUCCACGAGUCGAACUCUUCUCCGAAGCCGAGGCAGAGCAAGCCAGGCAAGACAGAGUGGACCUUUUAGAAGAGGAGCGCGAGAUGGCACUGAUCCGUUCAACAAUUUAUCAACAAGAUCUGCGGCGAUUUCAUGCGCGGCACGUCAGGAGCCGCACAUUCCAAGCAGGCGACCUGGUGCUCCGAGUGGAUCAACAGAGACCACACAAGUUGGCUCCCGCCUGGGAAGGACCGUUCAUCAUUUCUAAGGUGCUGAACAACGGAGCAUAUCGACUCUACAACCUUGACAGGGAAACGGACGAGACGCGAUCAUGGAAUGGAGAUCUACUGAAUCGUUUCUACACAUAACCGCCGGCGAAGGCAAUGUAAAGAACAAGUAUCAUCGAAGUAAUACAAAGCAGAUUGAUUUCUUGCCGGUUCAAAAUUCUUCCGCGUUUGCAGACUCCAGUCUAAAAAAUCAACUCCGAGUGUGCACUAAAAGUCACACUCGGGGACUUAGCUGCGACCCAGAGUCGCCUAAGUAAACAAACUCGCUCCGAGUGUGCAGUAAAAGUCACACUCGGGAACUUAGCUGCGACCCAGAGUCGCCUAAGUAAACAACUCGCUCCGAGUGUGCACUAACAGUCACACUCGGGGACUUAGCCGCGACCCAGAGUCGCCUAAGUAAAAACUCGCUCCGAGUGUGCACCAAAAGUCAGACUCGGAGCCUUAGCUGCGACUCAGAGUCGCCUAAGUAAACAAAUUGCUCCGAGUGUGCAUUUCAAGUCGCACUCGGAGACUUAGAUGCGAACCAGAGUCGCCUAAGUAAAAAAGCUUCCUCCGAGUGGGCACUCGAAAUACACUCGAAGGCUUAGCAGUCCCUCAUUGAGGCUCAUGUGGAUGUGAAGAAAACUGACAACUACAUGCUCUGCAUGUUUUCCAUUGGCUUCACCAAGAGAUGCCCAAACAAAAACCACGAGCAAAAAUCGUGUCAAAAAAAACUCAGCGAAAGAAGAGCAAAAGAUCCGAUUCGAAUUCAGGUUGGAUCUACGAUCAGUCGGCUCGGUGUGAAUCAAGUUUAUCCACACCGAACCACGAAUGUACCGGCCAACAGCAGUGGCCAAAGUUUAAUACAGAUUCCACUCGACAUACCGAGGUAAAUGUGCGUUCAGCAUAAAGUUUAUCAAGCGUCGCCGGGACUGGCAGGCUCCACAAAGGUGUCGAGGUCGAUUCCGUCUGCAAUCCGAGUGGCUGUGUCGAGGAAGGUCUCCAUGAAGUCUUCAAAUCGAAGCUUCUUGGUGGUGGCGACCUACAACGUCUUCAACUUGUCUUCGCGAGCUUCCUUGCAGUGCACUCCGACCAGAGAUAGCGCCACGACCGCACCACACCGAGCGGCAGACUUCUUCCAUGCCCGCACUCUGCUUGGAACGUCCUCCAGUCGAGUCAUCAACCCCUCUAUCUCGUUCCGGGAGUCAUCUUCAGACCACAGCUCCGUGUCGAUUUGGCCGACAACUCUUCUCAGGUGACCAAUGAAAGGGCCCACCCUAUUAAGGCGAGAAUGCGCUCGGAGCAUGUCCCGGUUAGCUUCAUCGCCGAGUGGAACAUUCGGAACAAGCGACCGUUCAAUUUCAGUUGUUUCAGCCUCAACGUCCCGACAGAAAUCUGCAAAGAAAAGACAAGCAGAAAAUAAGCGCGGAGUGAACUCCAAAGUCAAAAGGCACUUGACAAGAACUUACCACCAAGCAGAGCGACCAUCUUCUUCGCCGAGUCGCUGACGUAGUUCUCCCGCGCUCUGCACCGAGUGUUCAUCACCUUCAGCUGGCCCAUCCAUUCGGAUCUCUCCCUCUUCAUUUUUUCUACCUCGGCUAGCAGUGCCUUGUUAGCCUCCCGAGACUCCUCCAAAGAUUUCUCUCUGUCAGCAAGAGCCUUCUUCACGCCAGCCAGGUCAUUCACAGCCACCUCCAAGUCCGCAGCAAGUUGAGUCUUCUCAGCCUUCAGAGCAUUGUACGCCGAUCCCAUCUCACAAGUCUUCUGUCAAAGAGACACAAAGGGAGGAUUAGCCACAUUCAACAAGGAAAAAGUCUCGACAGAUAUGACAAAACAAUCAAAGCUCAAAAUUCUUCAGACCCCUGCCGAUGCAAGCAAUCGACAUCGGUCUCGGGGACUACACCCAGUGGGUUCACUGAGAGUGACCCCACUGGCAUGAAGCUCAAACAGGUCGGCCCUAUUGAGCUCUAUAGCAAACCAACAACACUAUGAGAUUACUGUUACUCGACCCGAGUAACACUACUCUCGGGGACUACACCCAGUGGGUGCACUCGGCGUGCCCCCACUGGUACCAUUCGGGCAAAUCAGCUCUGAUCUGUACAGAUUAUGGAAAAUACAUAUAAAGACAACUUCCAGCGCAAGCACUCGGCAGAAGUCUCGGGGACUACACCCACUUGGUUCACUCGGAGUGAACCCACUGCAAAAUCAUCCUACUGUAUCCGAGUAUAUCGCUGAAACCCCGAGUGGGUACCAAGAGGAAUGUAAACACUUACUAGCGCACUUACUCGGAUAUCACCCCGAAGCUCCAAGCUCUUCUUGUACAGGGACGCGAUGGAGUCGUACGCUCCCUUGGCGUCGCCCACCAUCAGCUCCACCUGCACCAUGGCAUCCUUGGCAGCUCCCACCUGGUCUUCCGGGAGGCGUCGGGCGUCAUAUUGAACAGCCGACGGACCCGGCGUGGCAGAAGACUCCCUGGGCAUCCCGAGCUCUGCUCUAGUCGGUUCCGCCGUGAGGGCCACCAUCUCAGUCGGCGGCACGUUCAUGGCGGGAUUGGCAGCAGAUGGGAUAACCCCAGGGACAGACGCCAAAGCUGGUUCCGACCUCCUUUGGUCGUCGUCGUCCAGAUGGAUCACCUCCGAAGGAGGCCCGACUGAACAAAAUAAAAUUAGACAAAAAGGUCAAGAUCAAAGACAGCACUUGCGAAACAGUAAUACAGCUCUCGGAGUCGUGACAACAUACCUUGCUGGGACGUGGCGGCGUUAUCAGUGUCCAUGGGAUCAUCGUCCUGGCGCGGCAGAGAGGUGGCGGAGGUAGCAGCUCUGUUGAGUGAAAUCCACUCGACGGAUAAACAUGAGUUCCCAAAAAGAGGAGUUCAAUCGGAUACUGAAGGAAGAUGAAAGAGUAAAGAUACUUACGCUGAGGCGACCGGAACAGCGAUCCUCAUCCGGGGCAAGGCUUUCCGAGGUUUAGGCCCACUAGGUUUAGCCACCUUGGAUGGCUGGUUCACAGGCUCGGCAGAAGCACCCCUGGUUCUCUUCACACUCCGAGCACUCGAAGCCACGGGAGGAGCUGGCGGAGCACUCGGAGCCGCGGGAGGAGACGACAGAGCAGCGGGGUCAUGACGACGCUUGGUUCGGUGCUCUGGUGGUGAGGGCGACGAGCUCUGCUCUCCACUCUCUUCCAACUCCUCUUCCGUCUCCUCCUCCGUCUCCCCACUGUCAGAGACAUACUCGGCGCUAUCCGCGUUGCCCUCCAUGCUGCCCUCCUCUUCCUCGACUGGAUUCCCGUUCGAGACUGCAGAAUGCCAGUUCGUCCACUCCUGCACAAAACACAGUCGGCAACGUCAGUCAGCGAUACAAGAAAAGCAAUAAAGCUCAGAAGGUUAAAAGCACUCGACAACAUGUACUCACCUCAUUCGGAGGAGGAUUUUCGGCACGGAAGGGCUUCACCCACCGGGCUCCCAUGGGGUUAUCACACGUGCCUGUGAUGCUGCGGACCCACGCACUCACAGUCUCCCCGCUCACGUCCUCUGGAUGAGACCGAGUGGUAUCCGAGGGCCCCGUGUAAUGCCACAUAGCGUAGUCUCGGGCCUGCAGUGGCUGGAUGCGCCGACCCAGAAAAGUCUCCAGCAGGUCCAUGCCGGUGACUCCCCUCCGGACGACGGCUAUCAGCGCGUCAACCAAAGGUUGGAUCUGGGUUCUUUCUCCCUUAGAGAGCGCAAGCUUCCUGGGAGGGCCCGUACGGUCUAAACUGAAAGGUGGCAACUCACUCGAAGCAUUCGGACAAGCAAUGUCCUGGCAAUAGAACCAGGACGAUUGCCAGUUCCUAACUGGCUCGGAUAGCUGGAGGGAGGGAUAGCUACUCUUUGUUUUCUUCUGGAAGCCUAAACCCCCGCAGAGCUGGAGGAUGUGUGUCUUAUCGUCCGACUGGCUAAGCUUUUUAACAGUUUCGGAUCUAGCGGAGAAGACAUAUUUAAAGAGCCCCCAGUGGGGAGGACAUCCUAUGAAGCACUCAAAAGGGUGACGAACGCGGCAAGAUGAGCUAUUGCAUUCGGAGGAAAGUGAUGGAGCUGCGCCCCGAAGUAAUUCAUGAUACCUCGGAAGAAAGGAUGGGGAGGCAAGGAGAAACCUCGGGCCACGUGGCUGGGCAGCAGAAUGCGCUCCCCCUCCUUCGGUGCCGGCUCCGUCUCGCCCUCCGACAGCCUCCAUGACUUGUUGGCGACCAUGCCGUGCUCCACCAGCUCCAGCACGUCAUUCUCCGUCAUCGAGGAGGGGAGGAAGUCCCCCUGGAUCCAGCCCGCAGGCAACGCCCGCUGCCGCCGCUGAGUGGAGGCCGCCCCCUUCUUCUUCUUCUUCUGCGCCUCGAGCUUGCUGGUCUGCCCCUUCGUCAUGGCGAGGACUACGGAUCCGCAGAGGAGGAGAGGCAGGAGGUGGCUUGGGGUGUGCAGAGAGCUGCGGGAGAAGCGGGAUUAAUGGGAGGAGGAUGAGCAACGCAACAGGAAAUCCCGCCGGGGAGGCUUUAAUAGGCUUCCGACUGGGUCACUUACAGGUGGGCCAAGGAUCUUAUCCCCCCAACCGGCCGCUGCAAGGUUAGUGGAGAAGAUAACGGCACGGUAAUCGAGGAGGCAAAACCUACUCGAUGGCGAUGUCGUCAUCCCCGCUGAGCGCGCGACAACCGAAAUUUGAGGAUCCCGAAAAAUCCGGCGCUGUCAGUUUGACCAGUCACGUCGAAAGAUUCCGCGGAAGCACUCGGUCCCUGACGGUUCGUUUCACUGGCAUAUUCACUCGGAUCACUAGCUGAAAAGAUAAAAUGGAUCGAGGCAAACAACGCUAAAGUCACCUCAAUACCAGUCGGUUCCAUACUCCGGACAUCACUUCAUCGUUCCAACCCCGAUCAAUUCGGGGACUAAUGAUGGGGUUAUAUUCCCAAGGUAGGGUCAUAGGUCUACCCUAUAGGUCCUACCCAAGGACUAUCCUUCAUAGAAGACAAGGCCCUUAGACAGUUCCGACUGAACUAAGGACGCCCCCAUCAUCCAGUCGGCGACAAUUCACUCGGAGCAUAUCUAACGUACCGAUUGGAAUCCACUCUGUACAUCGUAACCUCCCAGGAGGGCAACGGUCAUACGUUUUCAUACACCAUUAUUAGCAUUUAAAGCUUACGUUACCUGUAACGUAAGCAUUUACUCGCCACUAUUCCACCCCUGUCCACCGGGCCAUUAUGAAGGGCAGCGCACUCUAUAUAAGCCACCCUUCACCACUGGUACGGGGGUUGGCACUUGCUGUAAUCCUAUAAUCCACUCGACACAAAGCUCCCAAGAGCACUGAGACGUAGGGCUUUUACCUCCACUGUAGAGGGGCCUGAACUCAUACAUCCUCGCCGUAGCUAAGACUCUGCCCAUAUACUUUCGUACCCCAUACUUCUACUGUCAGACUUAUACCCACGACAUUGUACGUGUACUGUGUACUAAUAUAGCAGUUGGAUAAAAGUGUUUCCUAAAGAUGUUGCUUGUUGGAUAAAAUUACUUGUUGAUACUAUUGGCUUGUUGCUUGUUGAUUUUUGUGACUUGUUGUUGUUGCUGUCUCCUAUUGCUAGGGAAGAAGAUACAAGUAACAUCUUUUAACUUUCUCCAUCAUCAUUUGAGCAUUAUUGAUGUGUAUUGCUUGCUGAUUUUAAUUAUCGUCAUGUUCUUAGGUGAGAGUUUCUAUAUAUUUAUUGUUAUGAGAAUAAAGAGCUUAAUGAAGAUUGUGCUCUCUAUAUCGUUAUUAAGAAAAAAACUUUUAAAACGUUGGAAGAAGAGUAGUACCCCUCCAUUAUUUGGUCAACUCGUGCAAUCUAAGGUUGCUCUUUAUAUAUGUUUGUCAUUUGACAAUCUCAAGUUUUUAACUCUAAAAGAUUUGUUGAUUUUAUGUUGUCAUGUCAAUAUGUAUUAUAGUCUAAAUUAGAUUGUGGCAGUCUAUAACCGAUUAGCUGUGUUACCCCACUGAUGAUAGUGCGACUUUUAGAAUGAGAAACACGAAGGUAUGGAGUCAAUUAGGCAACCAGUGAUGCGGUAUUUUGAUCUCAUCACUAGUGGCGGGACUAAAGGCCUAACCUUUAGUCCCGGCACUGUUCCAAGCCGGGACCAAAGGUGCUCCACGUGGGCGCCUCGGAGUGCCCUCAGGGGCAGGCCCUUUAGUCCCGGGUCUUAACACGGACCGGGACUAAAGGAUCCGUCUGUUUAUUUUGUUUGUUUGACCCAAAAAGGUACCUUAUUUUAUUUUUGAAUAUUCUUUGAUUUGUUUUUAUGUUUUAUUUCAAUUUUUAAAUCUUUGAUUUAUUUGACAAUUUAAUCUCUAAUCACCCAUCCUCACUGCUCUAGCGUAGAUUACUCAUUUCAAAUCGUCUAACUUCUCGGCCGGUCACCCAUCCUUUCACUGCUUCAGCCCGAGCAUGCUUAACUUCCUGGUUCUAUCACCCCUAGUUGCCAAGUCUGCACUUGUUGUUCUCCUGACAAUAGUAAGCUAUCAAUCCUAAACAACCUAGGGUUUGAUGUCAUGUCACAUGAUUUAAUUUUUUGAAUUUAAACAAUUAUUAAUAUAAACAAAAUAAGUAAUAAUAAUAGUGAAUUUCAAUGAAAACAACCUAAAGAUUUUAAAUAAAAUUAUUUUUUCUUAUUUUUGUGGAAAAAACUUCUUUUUGCCAUAACUUUUUUUACAUUUGGAAUUUUGAGCAUCUGAGAAAACUUCACCGGGCAAGCCCCGGUGAAAUUGAUUCCCAAUUUUCUCUAGUUUUUUUUGAUAUAUUAAACUUUUUUUUACGUCGUAUGCAAAAGUUAUGGCCGUUUUACAUUUUCCCCUUUUUUGAAAAAACGAUCAAAAUUCAUAUCUCAAAAUUUGUAUACCAACUAGGCACUAAAACCUAACUACAUCUCAAAGGAUUUUAUUUUUUGAAGAUUUUAGCAUUUUUGUUUAUUUUCUACAAAACUAAAAAAGACGGUCGAGUGAGGGUAGAGUUUGAAAAUUUCAGAAUCCCCCUUUAGCCAAGAGUCCAAUCAUACCCGUCGACUACAUUUGCUAGCACCGUCCCCGCCAGAAUCACAACUAAGGUUAACCAAGCCAGAAUUAACCCUUUCUAACUUUAUUUGCUAUGUUGAGCUAAAUGACCCUGAAAUUGAAAAGAAUUAUAAUGAACUCUGAAAAUGUUGAAACUUGGCAUGGUAUCAUCAUUUCAUCCACAUAGCUUGUGCUAAAAAGUUGAGAGGGUUACGUCAAAAACUGGAUGCACUUCGUAUACAAAAUGAACAAUCUCUUUCGAAGUAUCAGGGUUUCGAACGAAAACUCAUCUAUUGCAAAGGGAUUUCAUUUUUUUGAACUUAUUUAAACUCCAUAGUUUUUCUGUGUUUAAAAUACACCAUUUAAAUCCACAUCAUAAAUUUUCAAUAUUUUCUGACUUCAUUUGUUAUUUUUCAUGCAUUUACUUACUUUUUUGAGCUAAUUGACCCUGAAAUUGAAAAGCACUACAAAUGAACUCUGAAAAGAUUGAAAGUUGGCAUGGUAUCAUAGUUUCACCCACAUGUCAUGUGCUAAAAAGUUGAAAGAGUUACAAUAAAAACUGGAUGCACUUCGUGUACAAACUGGAUCAUCCUUCGAAGUAUCAAGGUUUCAGACGAAAACCCAUCUGCUACAAAGGCAUGAUUUUAAUUCCAGACUUUUUAUGCAUUCAAUAUGCACCAUACUAUAACAUGUUAAAAUCUACAGAAAAUACUAACUAAAAAUAAUAAAAAACAACAAUUAAAUGACUAAAACAACUAUAUAAGCAAAAUAAUAUUGUUUUAAUUAAAAUCUAAAUUUAAAUUAUUCUAAAAAUAACCAAAUAAAUCUUACUGUGAUAACAAUCUAACAGAUAACUAGGAGAAAAAAGAAUUAAAUUAAAAACUAUUUGUAAACUCAAGUUAUUCACAAUUUGGGUUUGAAGCAAAUUUGAACAAAUUCAAAUUUAAACCAUUCAAAUUUAAAAACUAAUUGCACAAACAGAAACUAGACAAAAUUUUGAAUCUAAUGCAAAAAGAAUCACUAAAAAAAUAUUAAAUAUCCUAAAAGAUAUAAGCAAUUUAAAACAGAAAUAAAUUUUAAAAACAGAAAAAAAUAAAAAUACAAAACCCCUUUAGUCCCGGUUCGUGUCUCGAACCGGGACUAAAGGUCUACCCUUUAAUCCCGGUUCAAGACACGAACCAGGACUAAAGGUCUAUCCUUUAAUCCCGGUUCAAGACACGAACCAGGACUAAAGCCUUCAAACCCUUUAGUCCCGGUUCGAGACCGGGACUAAAGGUCNCGAACCGGGACUAAUGCUAACAUUAGUCCCGGUUCGUAAUGGAACCGGGACUAAUGUGUAAAUUGAGCUGGGACGGAAGCCCCUUUUUCUACUAGUGCAUCUCAUACAUUUUAUUAUGUUAACUUUUCUUGUUAUUAUUUUAUCUUUAUUUACAUAUGUUCGACGUAUCGUCGUAUUGCUGUUUUUAAAAAUUGUCGUAUCCCGUAUCGCCGUACCCGCAGUGUCGCCGUAUCGGUGCUUCGUACAAACAGAAACUACGCACAAACAGAGGGAAUGGGGAAUGGGGACCUUGCCGAUAAAACGUCCGCCGUCCGCCGGGAACCAGACCUCGCUGCCGCCCGGAACAGCCGCGGAUGUAGGAGAUGAUGUGAGGAUGUGCAGGGGGAGGCAUUGCAAAAGGCGACUGUCUACCCGCUUAAGCGAGAAAUUGACGACUGAAUGCAGGCGAACGAGGCGAGGAGGUCGUGCGUAUUGGUCAAACGGGGCGGCUGUACCUGGAACCUACCUGUCAAUGAGAGAACCGCGACCAACGGCUACACACACGCGGGAGCUACGCUAGGUUCGCUCGCGUUAAAAACCACAUCGUGUCUUUAGACUGUCAGAUUCAAAAUGAACAUCAUCUGGCAUUCGGAUCUGUUGCAGAAAGCCGAACGUUCAGAUUUUAGCUUUCUCGUAUCAUAAAAACGUAGCAUGAAUCUUACUUUUUUUAAACACAACGUAGCAUGAAUCUCAAACAAAACCUGGUUUAUGUACCUGUGUAUUGUGAUAUUGUCAUAUCUCGCAUAGAACUGUAAUAAUUAUAACAUGCCGGAGAGUUUGUUCGAUGAAAGGUUUAUAUUUCGGAGAUUUCUGGCGUUGCCUAUCGAUGACGGUAUAGCGCCGGAGAGCUCGUUCGACGAAAAGUCUAUAUACUCGAGAUUCCUUGCGUUGCCUAUGGACGCCGGUAUAUUACCUGAGAGUUUGUUCGACCAAAGGUCUAAAAUCUUGAGAUUUCUGGCGUUGCCUAUCGACGAUGGUAUGGAGCCCAUGAACCGGUUCCUGCCGAGCGAGAGACUGACCAGCGACCUGGCGCUGCCGAUGCCGUCACCGAUGCCGCCGGUGAGAUGGUUGUCUGCAAGGUCAAUGAUUACAGCGUUGGGAAGCGCCCAUAAGCCCCGGGGUACCUCGCCGGAGAGCGAGUUUCUCCUCACAUGGAACCUGUCCAGGGUCGUGCACCUCUCAUAGGUCGCCGGGAUUUCGCCGGAGAAUUUAUUCUCAAAGAGCAGUAUCCACAGCAGCCUCCCGCUCUUGCACAUGUCCGGCGGGAUCGGACCCGUCAGCGAGUUCAUGCUCACAUCGAUGAAGGUCAGCUCCGACAAAGUGCCGAGGCUCUGCGGCAGCUGGCCUGUGAGGCUGUUGUUGUAGAGUGACAGGUAGACCAGCUCCUUGAAGUCUCCGAAUUCGAGGGGCACCUCGCCGGAGAAACCAUUCCAGUAGAUAUGAAGCGACACGAGCCGCGUGAGGAAUCGGAGCUCGGAGAGGCCGCCGGACAUCAUGUUCUCGGACGCGUCGAAGUACUGUAGCUUCGUCAGCUUCCCGAACCCCCGCGGGAGAGCUCCGGUAAGGGAGCUGUUGUACAGAUGGAGUGUUCGGAGGUUAACGAGAUUGACGAUCUCCGAGGGUAUCUUGCCCGUGAGGUUGUUGUCGGCGAGCUCGAGGUCCACGAGCUUGACUAGGCUCCCGAUACCCCGCGGGAUGGCGCCGGCGAUGUUGGCGGCAGAGAGGUAGAGCACGGUUAGGUUGGUGAGCUCGGUGACCUCGUUGGGGAAAGAACUGGUCGGCUCCAGGAACGGGUUGUCUCCCACGGCGAGCACGGCGAGGCCUGGCAUGGCGGGCAGCGCGGCCCAGGGGAACGCACCGGAGAAGAUGUUAUUUGAGACGUCGAGCCUGCGGAGACCGGUCAGCGGCGAGAGGUCCGGCACGGCGCCGGAGAAGGCGUUGGACGCGAGCGUGAGCUCCUCAAGCCCCGUGCACGCGACGACCCGGUCGAUGCCCCCGGCGAGCGCGUUCGACGGCAGGGACAGCGUGGUGAGGUUCGUCAGCGAGCCGCAGAUGAUGCCGAACGGGACGGACGCGGCAGCGACUCCGCGCUCCCGUACGGACAGGCCGAUAACGACGGAGCGGCGGGAGUCGCAGGUGACGCCGGUGAAGUUGCAGGGCGAGGCAGCGGUGGCGUCCCAGGUGGCGAAGAAGGCGGCCGCCGCGGGCGGGAUGGUGAGGGAUCGCUUGAAGGCCAGGAGGGCGCCAGUUUGGGAGGAUG